UACAGAGGUCCCAAGCGUUGUUCGGAUUCACUGGGCGUAAAGGGUGCGUAGGUGGUGAGCUAAGUUGGGUGUGAAAUCUCCGGGCUUAACCCGGAGGGUGCGCUCAAAACUGGUUCGCUAGAGGAUGGGAGGGGAGACUGGAAUUCUCGGUGUAGCAGUGAAAUGCGUAGAUAUCGAGAGGAACACCGGUGGCGAAGGCGAGUCUCUGGACCAUUCCUGACACUGAGGCACGAAAGCCGGGGGAGCAAACAGG
rnacentral:rRNA from 1 species